AACGCACAUUGCACCUUUUGGUAUUCCAUGAGGUAUACAUGUUCGAGCGUCGUUUAAAUCUGAGACUUAUGUCUUGUGCUGACGUUCUCCGACGGAAGUUGGAACGUUGAAAAUUAUAGGCGCACGUGGCUCGUGACGAACCCAAUAAACUGGACAAGUUCGAGUACUCAUGCUGCCGACAAACCUUUACAUUUUAACGUUCGACCUCGAAUCAUGUAGGAUUACCCGCUGAACUUAA
rnacentral:misc_RNA from 1 species